AAAAGUGCCGGGUUUCUGCCGAAAAACCGGUGUUAAAAGGCUCUGGAGUGAGGAGAUGUGUUUCUGCCUUGGCUAUUAUGUACACUAAAACGUGAAUGUCCUCUUCUCGUGCCUCUGUCUCUCGUUAGAAACCAUUUAUUCAUCCAUACUGAAUCUGUUUAAAAUAAUUCAGAUGUGGAAGAAUAUGAGGAAGAGCUUAGAAAUGAGCUUCAACAUUACUGGAGCAAAACAACUGCCAUUCUAACAUAUUACUUGCACAACAACCGAAAUAUAAUUGUACACAUUGUGAGUUGGAGUUUCUCAGACGCCUUCUCCCUUUCUACCUUCUAAACCUUUAUCAUCACAUGAAGCAGAUUGAGAAAUAAUAAAGCGCCAUGUAGUUCAUGCAUGAUAUUAUUCUCUUUUAUGUAUUACUAAAAAAAAAAAAAUUGUUUCUUCUCUACCAUAAAGUAUAAUACCUCCAGCUGCUUGAUCUAAAAACACUUCAGUCACAAGGAAGUGCUCUUUUGUCUUUGCCAACUUGGCAGUGGCUCCUAGCUGUUAUCCUUUCAGACUUUUCCUAUUGAAAAAAAAUAGAGGAUUAUUGCAUGUAUCUUAAAAACUACUGUGGAAAGCUUUAUGUGUAUGCACAUAAGUAUACAUAUAGAGACAAAUUAUCAUACUUUUUAUCCCAGUUUUUCUCAGAAUUAUUCUCCAGUACAAGUAAUCAAGUGGUGAAAGAAAUGAUCGAUACUGAUUUGAAGAGUAGAGAACUGCCUCAGAUAAACGUAGAGCAGGAAACCAUGGCAAGACUGAGCAGAACCCAGUGAUCAUGCAGGGUUGAAGACAGGCUCUGGAGAAGGCAGCUAGCAAUUGGCAGGAUAUUUCUUGUGACAGUUUUGUUGUAGAUCACAGGUAUCCCAUGAAAGAAACGCCUCACUUGAUGGACAUUGUUGUCUAAUCACUCCUGAUGAUGAAAAGCUCAGCCAGGAACCAAUGGGACACCAAGGAGUAAAAGUAUGGGGGGUGAAAUACUGAACAGCCUUUCUGCUGCAGCCAGAUGUGAGUUUGAUAGCACCCCAGGACGCCCCGCUCGGCAGCGCUCUGUGGGCCGCGCUCUGUCACCAAGCACAGCAAUGUAAAGGAGAAGGUUGAACUUCACAGCAUUUUUCCAUUUCAGAAGGAGCUCCUUCAUGCAACAAACAACCCCUGGAUUUGCAGCAGUUUGUACAAGGUCAGUGGCACGUACAGCAUGAGCACAUUCCCAUCAUCACCCCUACAUACAUGUGCUCCCGGCAAAAAAAAGCCCUGAGUGUCUCCUUUCCUCAGACAUGUGCUCACUUCGCCUUCCUUUCACAAUCCUCCAAGCAACAGAACCUUCAAAAUGAAUUAAGCAUUCAAAAUAUAUUACACGUCUGAGUUCGCCAAACAGCCGAUUAUACCAAUGGCAUUUUAAGAUCUUAGUAACUGUGCAGAGGCCUCUGAAAGCGCUGACUUGUCGCAGAAAUUCUAAUGUUUUCCAAAAACCUACAAAACACCCCUUUCGUUCUUCAUAACUGCAAACCCCAGAGUGAUUGCUGUGAUCAGUUGAUAUGACACAGACUAAGAAUACAGUUUUUAAAAAAUCCUGAAUUAUUGAGCAAACGUAUUUCUUUCAGAAAAGCAUUCAUUUCUCAUUUAAAAAUCUCUGCUACAAGAAAAUUCACCACAGCUCAUGACAAGCUGUUCCAACAGUUAAAAUGUCAGCCCCAGAAUUUGUCUGGUUUCAUUAACAGACACUGGAGCUCACCUUUGCUAGUUUAAACAGCUUCUGACAUCAGAUUUUGGGUCCUUGGUGCUCUCCUUGGAAGACACAUUUUCCAGUCCUUCCAAAAGUUUUGUGUUUUGUCUCUGCAUUAACUUGUUUUUUCAGUAUAUCCCAUGAAUUUCUGGCACCAGGAUGUGUCACAGCAAGGUAGGAGCAGUCCAACACAGAAACAAACAUCUCUGCCUUCACUUAUCUGUAUACCUGAGAUUGCUCUUCCUAUUUUUUAAUUAAAAUUUGCAUUGGAAACUCAUUCCCUGGUGGUCAUCCAACCGGAUCCCAAAUGUUCUCUAAUGUGUCUUUGCUCUACCACUGCCCCUAAUGGCAUGAUCUUAGUGGUCAGUGUGAUUCCCUCUGUUCUCUUUACGGUUCUGUGAGGAAGAAGCCUGGAAUUAAGUGGGUUUUGAAACAGAAAUUAAGAUUUUCUCUUUGUAGAACUCCUUCAAGUUUGGAAGGACUCAGCUGUAGGUUCUUACAGCUAACGAAGGCAGGCUGGAGAAAGAAGCUGGCUGCUGUCACUUUAAGUCCCAGCCAGAGAAGUUCUCUCUCUACUGAAGAUUUGUAUCUAUAACAAAUUUAAUCCGCCUAUACCAACACUUGGGAAAGUUCAUUUUUAAUCUAACCUAAUCUAUAAAGAUGAUGAAAUAUUUGGUUGCGGAUUCUUGGAUCCAGCUCACGUCACUUUUAACACCUACUCUGCUUUUUUUUUUUUUUUUUUUUUUUGGUCUGUCUUUAUCCUUUUCUCAAAAGCAAAACAGAAAGAAACAGUUGAGAUGGGAAAGAACAUGAAAUACAGCCAGAACUACAAAAAGUAGAUCUACAAUUACACCUGCAGCUCAGUGCUCUGAGAGGAUGAAUAGCCAGAUAAACACGCACACACGUACAAACACUAUUUUUCUUUGAAGGUCCUAAAUCAAAUGCCAACCAAUGGCUGUCUUGCUUAUUUUUAUGAAAUAAAUGUGUAAUCAGAGCCCAGGGUGGAUGGUUUAUAGAUCGGUCAU
rnacentral:lncRNA from 1 species